rnacentral:rRNA from 1 species
UUGAACGCUGGCGGCAGGCCUAACACAUGCAAGUCGAGCGCGAAAGGUUUUCGGACUGAGUAAAGCAGCGGACGGGUGAGUAACGCGUGGGAAUCUGCCCAGUAGUGGGGGACAACAGCCGGAAACGGCUGCUACUACCGCAUACGCCCUACGGGGGAAAGGGGGGGAUCUUCGGACCUCUCGCUCUUGGAUGAGCCGGAGUCGGAGUAGCUAGGUGGUAGGGUAAAGGGCUACCAAGGCUACGAUCCGUAACUGGUCUGAGAGGAUGAUCAGUCACACUGGAACUGAGACACGAUCCAGACUCCUACGGGAGGCAGCAGUGGGGAAUAUUGGACAAUGGGGGCAACCCUGAUCCAGCCAUGCCGCGUGUGUGAAGAAGGCCUUAGGGUUGUAAAGCACUUUCAGUGGGGAGAAAGGUUUGUCACCUAAUACGUGAUGAAAUUGAUGUUACCCACAGAAGAAGCACCGGCUAACUCCGUGCCAGCCGCCGCAGUAA